AUACGUAGGGUGCGAGCGUUGUCCGGAAUUACUGGGCGUAAAGAGCUCGUAGGUGGUUUGUCGCGUCGUCUGUGAAAUUCCGGGGCUUAACUCCGGGCGUGCAGGCGAUACGGGCAUAACUUGAGUACUGUAGGGGAGACUGGAAUUCCUGGUGUAGCGGUGAAAUGCGCAGAUAUCAGGAGGAACACCGGUGGCGUAGGCGGGUCUCUGGGCAGUAACUGACGCUGAGGAGCGAAAGCAUGGGUAGCGAACAGGAUUAGAUACCCUGGUAGUCCAUGCCGUAAACGGUGGGCGCUAGGUGUAGGGGUCUUCCACGACUUCUGUGCCGUAGCUAACGCAUUAAGCGCCCCGCCUGGGGAGUACGGCCGCAAGGCUAAAACUCAAAGGAAUUGACGGGG
rnacentral:rRNA from 1 species